GAUGAACGCUGGCGGCGUGCUUAACACAUGCAAGUCGAACGAAGCAUUUAAGACAGAUUACUUCGGUUUGAAGUCUUUUAUGACUGAGUGGCGGACGGGUGAGUAACGCGUGGGUAACCUGCCUCAUACAGGGGGGUAGCAGCUGGAAACGGCUGGUAAUACCGCAUAAGCGCACAGUACCACAUGGUACAGUGUGAAAAACUCCGGUGGUAUGAGAUGGACCCGCGUCUGAUUAGCUUGUUGGCGGGGUAACGGCCCACCAAGGCGACGAUCAGUAGCCGACCUGAGAGGGUGACCGGCCACAUUGGGACUGAGACACGGCCCAGACUCCUACGGGAGGCAGCAGUGGGGAAUAUUGCACAAUGGAGGAAACUCUGAUGCAGCGACGCCGCGUGAGUGAAGAAGUAGUUCGCUAUGUAAAGCUCUAUCAGCAGGGAAGAUAGUGACGGUACCUGACUAAGAAGCUCCGGCUAAAUACGUG
rnacentral:rRNA from 1 species